UGGACAGAUUAUUGUAUUCGACUGUAUUCACGGCGUGAAAUAGGGGAUUACACUGUUUUUAAAACGGAAAGUGAAUCAAUUAACAUAAUAGAAUCGU
rfam:Nicotiana attenuata strain TT chromosome 7, whole genome shotgun sequence.